rnacentral:rRNA from 1 species
UACGUAGGGGGCAAGCGUUGUCCGGAUUUAUUGGGCGUAAAGAGCGUGUAGGCGGCUAUACAGGUCCGCUGUGAAAACCCGAAGCUCAACCUCGAGACGUCGGUGGAAACCGUAUGGCUAGAGUCCGGAAGAGGAGAGUGGAAUUCCUGGUGUAGCGGUGAAAUGCGCAGAUAUCAGGAAGAACACCCGUGGCGAAGGCGGCUCUCUGGGACGGUACUGACGCUGAGACGCGAAAGCGUGGGGAGCGAACAGG